UACAGAGACCUCAAGCGUUAUCCGGAAUCAUUGGGCGUAAAGCGUACCGAUAGGUGGUUGUAUAAGUCAGAUGUGAAGUCUCCGAGCUCAACUCGGAAUCUGUCAUUUGAAACUAUACAACUAGAGGGGCAAAGAGGAAGCUGGAACGAACGGUGUAGUAGUGAAAUGCGUUGAUAUCGUUCGGAACACCAAUAGCGAAGGCGGGCUUCUGGGUGCCACCUGACACUGCUAGGACGAAAGCGUGGGGAGCGAAUGGG
rnacentral:rRNA from 1 species